UUUCGGCAACUGAUGCAACUCUGACCGGGCUACGCCGGCGUGACCGAUGAAGUAUUUAGGUACGUAAAGUUCUGUUAUGAAGGAAGACAGAAUGAUGGAAAAAUCAUUCUGACGGUAUUUAAUGACUAAGCCCCGGCUAACUAUGUGCCAGCAGCUGCGCUAAUACAUGGGGGGCAAGCGUUAUCCGGAUUUAUUGCGCGUAAAGGGUGCGUAGGCGGUUUAAUAAGUCUAUGGUCUAAGUUCAACGCUUAACGUUGUGAUGCUAUAGAAACUGUUUGACUAGAGUUGGAUAGAGGCAAGUGGAAUUCCAUGUGUAGCGGUAAAAUGCGUAAAGAUAUGGAGGAACACCAGUAGCGAAGGCGGCUUGCUGGGUCUUAACUGACGCUGAGGCACGAAAGCGUGGGGAGCAAACAGGAUUAGAUACCCUGGUAGUCCACGCCGUAAACGAUGAGUACUAAGUGUUGGGUUAAACCAGUGCUGAAGUUAACGCAUUAAGUACUCCGCCUGAGUAGUACGUACGCAAGUAUGAAACUUAAAGGAAUUGACGGGACUCCGCACAAGCGGUGGAUCAUGUUGUUUAAUUCGAAGAUACACGAAAAACCUUACCAGGUCUUGACAUACUCUGCAAAGCUAUAGAAAUAUAGUGGAGGUUAUCAGGGAUACAGGUGGUGCAUGGUUGUCGUCAGCUCGUGUCGUGAGAUGUUGGGUUAAGUCCCGCAACGAGCGCAACCCUUAUCGCUAGUUACCAUCAUUUAGUUGGGCACUUUAGUGAGACUGCCAAUGAUAAAUUGGAGGAAGGUGGGGAUUACGUCAAAUCAUCAUGCCCCUUAUGACCUGGGCUACAAACGUGAUACAAUGGCUGUUACAAAGAGUAGCUGAAGCGUGAGUUUUUAGCAAAUCUCAAAAAAACAGUCUCAGUUCGGAUUGAAGUCUGCAACUCGACUUCAUGAAGUCC
rnacentral:rRNA from 1 species